UCUAGUCAAUUAAAGUAUAAUACAAAAAUAAAUAAGAAAUAUAUCUAGAAAAAAAUUACUUAUUGCUACUCAGAUCUCACUUUUCCAUAGAGAAAAUAAUAGGUCUAUUUUGUUUUAAGUAUAUUAGUUUUGACAAAUAAGUUUUUCUUUUUACUGAAAUGGCCAUAAAUAUGAAUUAUACUGUAUCUGCAUUAUAGUAUAAGGCAAUAGAUUUUUUAAAAUGUCACUUCAGCUUUCCUUUCUUAUUCCAUCCAGUGUGUAAUAAAAAUUUCUUGAGUGAAAUAUUAACAUUUGCAAAGUGCUUUCAAGUUUGCAGAGUCCUUCACAUGCUCUGCCUAAUUACGAUGUUCACAGAAGCAGCCUGGCACAAUUCUUUACUUUGCAGCUGAGGAAAUGAGUUCUGACUUGUUCAAGGCCACAGAGCAAGCCAGUGGCAGAACUAGGAUUUGAAUCCAGUUCUCUUGGCUCUGAAUGGUGCCUUAAUGUUUUCUCUAAUUUCAGGGUAAAAUUCAUACAUUUAAAUUCGGCUUGGAAGACUAGAAAGGAAAAUGAAAAACUUGUUUCCGUUUCUCUACUCCUAGGUCUCCAGUGUGCUGCCCAGGAAUGCUCAUCACCAUCUCAGAAUCCAAAGUGGACAUAUUUAUAGUGUCUCCUGACUUUGAAAGGAGUUAAGAGCAGAGAGCAGAAAAUAGUUGGUCUGAAUGGGAAAUGAAAAUCAAAUAUUCUCUUAUUCUAAAGGGCACUGUGAACAAGAAUUAAUAAUGUAAGAUGCAAGACAUGCUAUAUAGCACUCUGAAAAAAUAUGAUGCCUACGUAUUUAGUUUAAGGCAAAAUGGCCUCGAACCCAGCCCCGGAGAGACAGCAGUGAACAGAACAGCAACCCCAGCCCCAGGGAGUUUACCUUCUCUGAAGGGAGACAGGAAAUAACAGAUAAGGAUCUCCAGAGACUCUGCUUCUGUGAGGCCACCUAAACUAUGAUCCCAUAAAAUUAAAAUGAUGAGAUGGAAAACCACAGAAAGCACCACACACCUGGCAGCUGAGCGGAACUUUGUGUUGCCAAAGGGGCCCAGGCCUGGGCUUCUGCCAUGUGAUUCCCUGCCCACCUUCUACCCAGAGGGGACUGCUAAUUUUUAAAAAUAGGUUUAAUACAGUCGUACACUCUAAUGUACUCUGUACUAUCUUCUUCCUGUGGGUGCACUUUUCAACUGUUACAAGAAGUUCAGUCCCUUGUGAAGCAUGAGUUUGUAAAGAUUUAUAUCAGUUUUGUUGUCUCUGUUAAUUUUAACCAAGUGGUGUAUCCUGAUAUAUGAUAUGAAUUUAGAGUUAGUAGAUCUCAUUUCUGGAGAAGGAAAUGGCAACCCACUCCAGUGUUCUUGCCUGGAGAAUCCCAGGGAUGGGGGAGCCUGGUGGGCUGCCGUCUAUGGGGUCGCACAGAGUCAGACACGACUGAAGUGACUUAGCAGCAGCAGCAGCAGCAGAUCUCGUUUCAACACUCUAGAGUUUGGAAAGUGUCCCAGAAGCCAGUAAGAAACCAAGCUUCUGCAGAACUGUGGGCAGGUGCUUUCACCUCUGUUUUCUCAUCUGUCACCAGGGCACUACUAUGGCCAUACAAGUCUGUAUACAAGUGUCAUACAAUUUCAAGGAGACUGUUCACAUCGUAACUGAACAACAAAGCGGUCUGUCUGUAACAGGAAGAUAGGUGAGCAAAUUAAAUCAUCUUUCAAUCCCUUUGAGCUAAAAUUUAAUCAUUAUGACAAGGUGGUAUUCCAACUUUUCUCUAGAUUUUCUUCACAUUUACUUUUUAAAAUAUCAUUUUUUUUUAAACCAAUGCUUUCAAACAUAUGUUCUGGACUAAAUUUGGUUUAGAAAAUAGUUUUAAGUUUUGUACUAUUUUCUGUAAAAGAAUGAAAUAGUAAAUAUUAAAAAUUUUAGUGUUUUAAAACUUUACAGAUUUCACAAAACCCAAAAAUACAUAAUAAAAAUAGCUUGCCACGGAGGUCUUCUACA
rnacentral:lncRNA from 1 species